rnacentral:tRNA from 1 species
GGGCGAUUAGCUCAGUUGGCCAGAGCGCGCGGAUCACACCCGCGAGGUCACAGGUUCGAGCCCUGUAUCGCCCACCA